AGAAGGUUAGCGGCAAGUUAUUAGGGCACCUAAUUAUAAAGCUACUGGUCGGCAAAAACAGCCAACUUAGGGUUAACGAUUGUCAGCUUCACCUCAUAUUACACCACAGCACUUUUACAGCUGCCAAAAAUGGCAGCCUUCACAUUCCCACCAUUCAGUGCCAGCUCCUCCCAAUAUCCAUCUCUACGCAGAUAAAAUGGCCACCAAGCUGACACAAAAUGGCUGCCCUGUGCGGCUUCAUAGACAAAAGUCACACCGGAGCAUCAUGACAACAAAUAACAGUGCAGACAAAUGGAGCGGUUGCUCAUAGCAACCAGCUGAUGUCAUUGCGUUUCUGACUGGUUUCUAAGGCAGCGGGAGUAUUGCCCAUAGCAACCAAUCACAUUCCUGCUGUAGUGCAGUUUAGAAUGUAAAAGCAGAGAUCUGAUUGGUUGCUAAGAGACUUCUACCUCCAUCUCAACCAAUCACAUCACUGCUUUUAAUAUGUGCCUUAGUUGUGGAAGGCAUUUGAAUACCUUUAUUGACAACAUUUUUCUUUGACAAGAACGUAGGUAGAAGACGCAGACAGGACUAUGCUACAAGCUACUUCUAACAUGGCUGUGUCUGGACACCACAUGGCUGUAUACACACACAGAGUCCUUGAGUCGAUUAUCAAACUGAAUAAAAAGCUGCAGCCAAUCGGAUGACGGCUUUCAUAUCAUAACCUGCACUGGAAAAAUUAAAGCUGAAAUCUCAUUGGCUGCUUUGUAAACUGCUCCAUUUUGGCUUCUCCCCUCAGUAAAAAUAUCUUUAGUGAUUUAAAGGGGGUUUCUCGCCAGACGGCCCCCUGUAAUGUUAAGGUGUCUAGAGGCACCCUCUAGGUGGUCGGCUGUUUUAUGCCAGGUUGGUGUAUCUGAUUGGCCUUGAGGGCUCACCUACAUCAAUUUCCAUAUUUCACACCACAAGAUUGGCGCCAUAAGAUUGGGGGCGUUCCACCUGUGUCGCGGGAGCGGUAGAUCACAUAUCAUUUAUGCUUGCCGUUUUGUUGCUGGCAGCCAUUUUAAUUUAGUGGGAAGAACUACAUAUCCCUGAAAGUGCGAAUGGGGAAGACAAGUUAAGUAAUCCUGUGCCUACUGGAGCGGGGCCGGCAGAGGGUCCGGAUUAACGGACAGUCCGAUAAAUGUACAGACUGCGCUAGGGACCCCCGAUCUCCCAAAAGGUAUAACCCUGAGCGGCCGUCGCUUCCGCUCUGGCGGACUCAUCGUUCGUGUAUUACAUGGACUUCCAUUCGUCUGAACGGUCGGCAACGUAACACAGCCUUGAAGUUUAAAUUCCUCACAAGAUCUCUGCUUGCUGUCAAUGAAUGGUAACCUCCUUGUUUACAUCCAGGUGCUGAAAACCUUUCCUGACAAGAAUGGCGUCCGGCCUAGACAAUCCUCUGCGAGCCAUACACAAUCUCUUGUACUGGGAUUCAGGCUCUCUCGUGGUCCUGCUUACACAGCUGAGCUUUGUGACACUAUCUCAGUGCUUUUAGAGAUGGUUUCUAUUCACAGACAGCAAGCAAAGGUCCUAAAAAUGGCGACACAUUGGAAGACCAGGUGUAUUGGAAGGUCACUACACUUUACAUCAUACAAUGAUGACUCUUCAGAAAUACCAACUGCUGGCAAAUUCUGAAAAUCCAAUAUUUUUGGACACAUUUUAUAGUAUUUUAUUAUUAUUGGUCCUGAAAAAUGUCACAGAAUGUCCAAAGAAGAUAAUCCCAGAGUCCUUUGUGUCCCAGCAGCCGCCCCGCUCGCUCGUCUACUCGCUAAUGGACAAUACAAGGAAACAGGAGACGCGCCUCGCUGGAUCGGCGGCAGCUGUCACACCCCUUUUCACAGGACUGUACUCCCUGAGCUGGCGCAUCGGUACAGGCCGAGAACAUAGCGACUGCGGCCUCGUCUUAUAUAUACGUGCAAAUUAUCGUCGAACAGUCAGAAAGGACGAUCCGACCCUAAACACAGUCAUCCGAACCGCGACCCCAAAUUCGUUUUGUGACUCCCAGUCUGUCCAUGCAUGACUGGAUCCUACCAAACUCAUGCAGGAAUAUGACUAUGCACAAGGAAGAUGGUGAAGACUUCUAACCACUUGCUAAAUCUGUUCCUUCUGGGGACAUGCUUGAGGCCUUUACAGCUACCUUACUGACAUGGUGCACCAUUAAAGGGGAAGCUGUCUAAAAACAAGACUGGCGAGGACCUCCACCGAUUUCCACCUCAAAGACCCCUCAGAAAAGUGUCCAGGACUCUUUGGUUGUGGAUGGAGCCUACCUGAAGGUGCUGGUAACCGCUACGGCACAAAGUCAGUAGAAGGCAAACCAAGGUGCAUCCGUAAUAAUGUGUCAUCAGGGCACAGACAUUUUUCUACAAUUAUUACAAAAAUGUACAAUAUUCUACAAAAUCUUGUUCUUCCAGUCUGUGAGACACCUUCUGAAGAGCGCUGGGUGCCCAAAAACAGCAAACUGCAGAGAGAAGAGCAAAUUCUAACAGGCUGAUCUACACAACGGUUCACUCGCCCUGGUACCGGCCGGUCUACGACGAGAUCGCAAAACGUUUGGCCAAGAACACCACAAAUAUAGCUGAGCAUUUGUGAAUUUAUAAUUAAAAAAAAAUCCCCCCAAAAAUUAAAAUAACUUGUAGGAUCGGCUCGGUAAUCUGCCUGAGAUGGUUAUUUAUUCCAAUUGCUUACAAAAUUGUUUGCAGUUUCGGGAGCGUGACCACGGAGCAUCAACAUUCCUCUCGUUCAAUUGGUCGACCGGGUUGGACUAUUCUUUAUUCCUGGCCAAAAACUUUUCUACUCCAACUAAACGACGUCUGGGUCACACAGUAAGCCACCCAAUAAGCGGAGGGCGGUAUCCCUGCUCGGCCUCACGGCGACACGUGUAAAUAAAACGCAACAAUAAAACAAAUGAUAGAAGAGACAGGCUGACGAUGAGCCUAUAUAAAACAUCCAAUAUAGAGGAAAACAUACAAAAAAAAAUAAAAAAAACUGUU